AUGUUAACCGUGAUCAGAAGAGCACACGCACCAAGCACUGAAGGUUACUUGGUGCCCAGUUCAGUGCCCUUGUCUUACCAGAGCAUUCAGAGUGAAGUCAUAAACUCAUCUAUGUUCCUUCCCUCCCUUUCUUCCUCCCUCUUCUCUCUCUCUCUCUCUCUCUCUCUCUCUCUCUCUCUCUCUCACACACACACACACACACACACACACACACACACAAGCUUCUGCACCAGGGGCUGUGAAUUCAAGAGACAGGUUGGGGUGGGAAUGGAAAGAUCACUGUACCAGAAUAUCCUGAUUCUGCUCCCAUUGCAGGUCAAUAAAUAUUUUGACCAUCUGACAUGGUGUACAGGAUAUGAAGACGACAAGGACACCAUUACCAUCCUUUGGGAUCUCAUGAUGAGGCAGAAACAUUCAAGUAAAUAGCUCAUCUCAAUCAUAAUAAAUACAAGCUCAAUGAUAACGACAAGCUCAGGAUGCUGUGGGAAUGCAGAGGGAGGCCCCUUGGCCUCCUGGGAUGGAGAUCAGGGAAAACUUCCUGGAGAAUCAGGCCCUUGGUGAUCUUAAAGGCAUGCAAAAAUGAGCCAGGAAAGAGGCAAAAAGCCAAACUCCUCAGACCCAGAGGUGGGAAGUAUCAUGAGGUUAUGGAAAAACUAGAUUAUGUGUGUUUUUAAAAAUUAACCUAUCAGACAUUCUUAUUUUUAACUUGUAAGAUAAUUUUUUCAAAGAGAAAAACCCUUAUGAGCAUUCCUUAUUCUAAGAGAAUCUUUUAUACUGGUUGAGUUCAUUAUAAUUUGAUCAAUAAGGUCAUGGUCACAGGUUAAUUAUUACAAGGUUGGUUAAAAAAAAUCAACUUUCUGUAGCAAUCUUAAAUUACAACUUUAAAGAAACAAAUUUAAUGUUUUACAGUAAAUGUUCUAACAUUCCAAAUAAAUGUAUUUUUUUCAAGGUUACCAGUUACAAGUUAGCAGGCCUUGGAACUAUUGAAGAAACCUUUUAAUAUGAUAGGAAAUCUAUCUUUGCCUCUUUCAGUAAAUAAACAUAUUUUAAAACUCCAUUUUAUGACAAGAUAUAUAAUAAGGACAUAUUAACUAAAAAUUUUGGUAACUGGUAUAUAAAUAUCCACUAAGUUUCUUAAUCUUUCAUUCUGAAUGAAGAUUUGUAGUUUAUCCAUGAACUUACAUUUUCUAAAACACUGUAUCAAGAGCUUCUAAUGUUUUCAAAGUUCCUACUAAAAAAUUCUGCCCAUUGGCAAAACUUAAUUUUUUUAAAUAAGUGAUGAUUUAUUGAUCUCAUUAUUUGAAGAAAAGCUUCUUAAGGUAAAAACAAAAACAAC
ensembl:lncRNA